rnacentral:rRNA from 1 species
UGGUUGAUCCUGCCAGUAGUGAUAUGCUUGUUUCAAAGAUUAAGCCAUGCAUGUCUAAGUAUAAGCGAACUUAUACAGUGAAACUGCGGAUGGCUCAUUAAAACAGUUUGAAUUUAUUUGAUGAAUGUAUGAGAAUACUACUUGGAUAACCGUAGUAAUUCUAGAGCUAAUACAUGCAACGACGCCCGACCGUUUCACUACGGAAGGGCUGUAUUUAUUGGAUACCAAAACCAUCCUUCCCUCGGGAAGUUUUGUUUGAUGAUUCACAAUAACUGAUCGGAUCGCCACUGUGGUGGCGACAGGUCAUUCAACAUUCUGCCCUAUCAGCUUUCGAUGGUUGUGUAGUGGACAACCAUGGCCAUAACGGGUAACGGAGAAUCAGGGUUCGAUUCCGGAGAAGGAGCUUGAGAAUUGGCUACUACAUCUAAGGAAGGCAGCAGGCGCGCAAAUUACCCAAUCCCGAUUCGGGGAGGUAGUGACAAAAAAUAACAAUACCGGGCCUUUUUGGGCUUGGUAAUUGGAAUGAGGGAGAGUUAAACGGACCAUCGAGUAUCCGUUGGAGGGCAAGUCUGGUGCCAGCAGCUGCGGUAAUACCAGCUCCAAUAGCGUAUAUUAAAGUUGUUGCAGUUAAAAAGCUCGUAGUUGGACUUGUGUGCGCUGUCCGCGGGUGGCCUGCGCCCAAAAGGGCGUUUCGGUUCGGCCCCGGUGGCGCCUUGAAAUCUGCAGCUGGGGGGACGUUGGCCUUAACUGGUCGGCGACCGCACGCCGGCUGCUCGGUUACUGUGAGAAAAUUAGAGUGUUCAAGGCAGGCAUUGGGUGCAAUUGAAUACAUUAGCAUGGAAUAAUAAAAUAUGGCUCCUGCCGUAUUUUGUUGGUUUUGACUGGUGGGAGUAAUGAUUGAUAGGGACGGUUGGGGGUGCUAGUAUUGAGCGGCCAGAGGUGAAAUUCAUGGAUUCGCUCAAGACUAACUUAUGCGAAAGCAUUCACCAAGGACGUCCUCUUUAAUCAAGAACGAAGGUUGGGGGAUCGAAGACGAUCAGAUACCGUCGUAGUCUCAACCAUAAACUAUGUCGACUUGGGAUCGGCGGUAGUUUUUUCAUUAAGACACUGUCGGGACCACGGGAGAAAUCAAAGUGUCUGGACUCUGGGGGAAGUAUGGUCGCAAGGCUGAAACUUGAAGGAAUUGACGGAAGGGCACCACCAGGAGUGGAGCCUGCGGCUUAAUUUGACCCAACACGGGGAAACUUACCAGGUCCAGAGAUGUAGAGGAUUGACAGAUUGAAGCUCUUUCUUGAUCACUUCGGUGGUGGUGCAUGGCC